rnacentral:rRNA from 1 species
CCUACGGGUGACAGCAGUGAGGAAUAUUGGUCAAUGGGCGCGAGCCUGAACCAGCCAAGUCGCGUGAGGGAAGACGGUCCUAUGGAUUGUAAACCUCUUUUGUAGGGGAGCAAAAGACGCCACGCGUGCCUUUCCGAGAGUACUCGAAGAAUAAGCAUCGGCUAACUCCGUGCCAGCAGCCGCGGUAAUACGGAGGAUGCGAGCGUUAUCCGGAUUUAUUGGGUUUAAAGGGUGCGUAGGGGGGAGGUUAAGUCAGCGGGUAAAUUUAGAGGGUCAACCGUUACAAGGCAUUUGAAAAUGGUUGUCUUGAGUACAGUUGAGGUAGGCGGAAUGCGGGGGGUAGCGGUGAAAUGCUUAGAUAUCACGAAGAACUCCGAUUGCGAAGGCAGCAUAC